rnacentral:rRNA from 1 species
CACGUAGGUGGCAUGGUAAGUCAAAGGUGAAAGCCCUCGGCUCAACCGAGGAAUUGCCUUUGAAACUGCUUUGCUUGAGUCCGGGAGGGGGGAGCGGAAUUCCCAGUGUAGCGGUGGAAUGCGUAGAUACUGGGAGGAACACCGGUGGCGAAGGCGGCUCCCUGGACCGGUACUGACACUGAGGUGCGAAAGCGUGGGUAGCAAACA